AUGAACGCUAGCGGAGGCUUAACACAUGCAAGUCGAGGGGCAGCACGGGUAGCAAUACCUGGUGGCGACCGGCGCAAGGGUGCGUAACGCGUGAGCAACAUGCCCUAUACAGGGGGAUAAUCCAGGGAAACUUGGUCUAAUAUCCCAUAGUAUUUAGAGGUGGCAUCACCACUAAAUUAAAGCUUCGGUGGUAUAGGAUUGGCUCGCGUGACAUUAGCUGGAUGGUGGGGUAACGGCUCACCAUGGCGAUGAUGUCUAGGGGUUCUGAGAGGAAGACCCCCCACACUGGGACUGAGACACGGCCCAGACUCCUACGGGAGGCAGCAGUGAGGAAUAUUGGACAAUGGAUGGAAAUCUGAUCCAGCCAUGCCGCGUGCAGGAAGACGGCCCUAUGGGUUGUAAACUGCUUUUAUAUGGGAGCAAUAAGGUUUACGCGUAGACCGAUGAGAGUACCAUAUGAAUAAGCAUCGGCUAACUCCGUG
rnacentral:rRNA from 1 species